UUGGAGGGCAAGUCUGGUGCCCGCAGCCGCGGUAAUUCCAGCUCCAAUAGCGUAUAUUAAAGUUGUUGCAGUUAAAAAGCUCGUAGUUGAAUUUCGGGGUUCUACCGUUGGUCGGGCUUUGUCUGUACUGGUGUGUAGAAUUUCUACCUUCUGGGGAACCAUCAUGCUAUUAAUUUAGCGUGGUGGGAAACCAGGACCUUUACCUUGAAAAAAUUAGUGUGUUCAAAGCAGGCUUAUGUCUGAAUACAUUAGCGUGGAAUAAUAGAAUAGGACGGUGGUCCUGUUUUGUUGGUUUCUGAAUCACCGUAAUGAUUAAUAGGGAUAGUUGGGGGCGUUAGUAUUCAAUUGUCAGAGGUGAAAUUCUUGGAUUUAUUGAAGACUAACUUCUGCGAAAGCAUUUGCCAAGGAUGUUUUCAUUAAUCAAGAACGAAAGUUAGGGGAUCGAAGACGAUCAGAUACCGUCGUAGUCUUAACCAUAAACUAUGCCGACUAGGGAUCGGACGAUGUUAAUUUUUCUUGACUCGUUCGGCGCCUUACGGGAAAC
rnacentral:rRNA from 1 species